GCUGGGUAUGGUGAUGCAUGCCUAUAGUCCUAGCUAUUUGGGAGGCUGAGGCAGGAGGAUGGCUUGAGCUCAGGAGUUCAAGGCUGCAGUGAGCCAUGAUCAUGCCACUGCACUCCAGCCUGGGUGAUAAAGCAAGACCCCGUCUCAG
rnacentral:SRP_RNA from 2 species